UGGGACAGUCAAGACAAGGCAACCACUUGGCAGCCCCGAACCAAGAUGUGAUGAUUUCCAUGAGCUGAUCCUCUGGGUUGUGACGAGGAAAUGGAAAAGAACGCAUUUUUCAGAUCAAUAUCUGCAUACCAUGUGCCAGAGUAUGUAUUGUAAUAAUGAUGCCACAGAAGGCAUAAUUGGGGAUACCAAUUGAUAAAACGCAUGGCAGUCCAUCAUCAUCUGCCGUGAUUCAUUUGGAGUUUUGCAGGAGUCAUAGCAGUGAAUUGAAUGAGGACAUGAUGGAGAUCACCAACCUAACAUCCUUCAAGUCUUUGACGGUGGCAUUAAUAUUGGCAAUCCUACCCUGGAUGAAGUCUUGCUUCAGGUUAACUACCAUGGUGGACAUUGUGAUGUGGUGCUCAGAUUCCCCCUACAGGAAUCUCUCCAACUUAUUUCCUCAGCUGUCAGCUCUCUUUUGGAAUUGCCUUGGCUAAAGAGAGCUCCUCACCCUGGGUCAUGUCUCUCUUCCAAAGGAAGCCCACGUUGAAUGACUGAUUAAUGCAGGGAAUAUCAAAUUCUAGCCCCCUCACCCUAAUUCAAGACAACUGUGGAGGGCUAUCUCAGCUUUAGAGCACCCUGUGGGGUUGCUGAGGGCUUCACUGAGAUUGCAUCACAGCCCAACUUUUCCUUUGUCCAGUCCUGCUUCCUCCCCACAGCAGAUAUUUAUCUUGAAGUCACUCCCUAAUAAACCUUCUGCAGUGUCUCAGAGUCUGCUUCCUAGGGAACCCAAGCUAUCACAACCAUCUUGGUCAGUA
rnacentral:lncRNA from 1 species